GGUUUGUAGCUCAGUGGUAGAGCGCUCCCCUCGCAUGCGUGGGGCAUGGAGUUCGAUCCUCAGCACCA
rnacentral:tRNA from 1 species